rnacentral:rRNA from 1 species
GAAAGUAAGCAAGGGCGUACGGGGGAUGCCUAGGCUCUUGGAGGCGAAGAAGGACGUGUUAAGCUGCGAAAAGCUGCGGGGAUUUGCAAAAGAGAGUUGAUCCGCAGAUAUCCGAAUGGGGCAACCCGGCAGAUAGGAGAUCUGUCACAUCGAGAGAUGAGCGAACCCUAUGAACUGAAACAUCUAAGUAAUAGGAGGAGGAGAAAGAAACAUCGAUUUCCCGAGUAGUGGCGAGCGAAAAGGAAAUAGCCCAAACCGGUGUUGUUACGGCAACGUCGGGGUUGUAGGACUGCGAAAUCUUAAUACGAACGAACGGGAACAUGCUGGAAAGCGUGACCAUAGAGGGUGAAAGUCCCGUACCGGUAAGUUGCGUAAGCGGAAGCAGUAUCCUGAGUAUGGCGGGACACGAGGAAUCCUGUCAGAAACCGCGGGGACCACCCCGCAAGGCUAAAUACUCCCAAGAGACCGAUAGUGGACCAGUACCGUGAGGGAAAGGUGAAAAGUACCCCGAACAGGGGAGUGAAAAAGAACCUGAAACCGUACGCUUACAACCUGUCGGAGCGGCUUAGUGCCGUGACGGCGUGCCUGUUGCAUAAUGAGCCUACGAGUUACUAAUCACUCGCGAGGUUAAGAGCUAUAAGGUCCGGAGCCGAAGCGAAAGCGAGUCUGAAUAGGGCGCAAAGUUAGUGGUUGUAGACGCGAAACCUUGCGAUCUACCCAUGAGCAGGAUGAAAGUUGGGUAAAACCACCUGGAGGUCCGCACCGGUAAACGUUGAAAAGUUUUCGGAUGACUUGUGGGUAGGGGUGAAAGGCUAAUCAAGCUGGGAAAUAGCUCGUACUCCCCGAAAUGCUUUUAGGAGCAGCGUUGCAAUAGUAUACUGGAGGUAGAGCUACUGAUUGGAUGCGGGGGCUUCACCGCCUACCAAAUCCUGACAAACUCCGAAUGCCAGUAUUAUGUUUUGCAGCAGUGAGCCGCCGGGUGCUAAUGUCCGGCGACAAAAGAGGAACAACUCAGACCAUCAUCUAAGGCCCCGAAGAAUACACUAAGUUGAACUAACGAUGUGCGACUGCAGCGACAGCUAGGAUGUUAGCUUGGAAGCAGCUAUUCAUUUAAAGAGUGCGUAACAGCUCACUAGUCGAGCGGUUGUGCGUGGAUAAUAAACGGGCAUCAAGUGUAUCGCCGAAGCUAUGGACUCUACGGAGUGGUAGGGGAGCAUUCCAUCGACGCCGAAGCCGUGUCGUAAGGCAUGGUGGAGUUUAUGGAAAAGCAAAUGUAGGCAUAAGUAACGAUAAGGCGGGAGAGAAACCCGCCCACCGCAAGACCAAGGUUUCCUGAUCAACGCUAAUCGGAUCAGGGUUAGUCGGGUCCUAAGGGUAAGCCGUUAGGUGAUCUCGAUGGACAAUCGGUUAAUAUUCCGAUACCGAUGCAUACUGCGACGGAGGGACGGAGAAGCGUAAGCUGCGCCAACAUACGGAAUUGUUGGUUAAAGAGCGUAGGUAUAGGACGACGUUAAUAGCGACGUUUUGCUGAAACUCGACAGUACCGAGCGGCUACGGCCAAUCGGAUAGUCAGCCCAAGCAAGCUUCCGAGAAAAACUUCUAAGCUUCAGGUAUGCAUCGCCCGUACCGUAAACCGACACAGGUGGUCGAGGAGAGUAUCCUCAGGUGCUUGAGUGAAUCACGGAUAAGGAACUAGGCAAAUUGACCCCGUAACUUAGGGAUAAGGGGUCCCCACGUGAGUGGGGCGCAGCGAAAAGGUCCAGGCAACUGUUUAACAAAAACAUAGGGCUAUGCUAAUUCGAGAGAAGACGUAUAUGGCCUGACACCUGCCCGGUGCUGGAAGGUUAAGAGGGGAUGUUAGCGCAAGCGAAGCAUUGAAUCGAAGCCCCAGUAAACGGCGGCCGUAACUAUAACGGUCCUAAGGUAGCGAAAUUCCUUGUCGGGU